AGCUCCAAUAGCGUAUUCAAAUGUUGUUGCAGUUAAAAAGCUCGUAGUUGGAUAUCAGACCAUGUGGAAUUGGCCCGUCGCCUUUGUGUGAUUGAGUGCUAGUGAAGCAGGUCUUAUUUUCCGGGAAGGAGUUCUGCCCUUAAUUGGUGUUGGAAUUUUUCGACCUGGAUCAGUUACCUUGAAUAAAUUAGAGUGUUCAAAGCAAGCUUACGCUGUGAAUAUUUUAGCAUGGAAUAACGACAUAGGACUUCAUGUCUAUUUCGUUGGUUUCUAGACUCGAAGUAAUGAUUGAUAGGGACAGUUGGGGGUGCUGGUAUUAUAUGGCCAGAGGUGAAAUUCUCAGAUUCAUGUAAGACCAACUCAUGCGAAAGCAUUCACCAAGGAUGUCUUCUUUAAUCAA
rnacentral:rRNA from 1 species